AAAAAAACGCAGUGUCAGAAUAUGUGCAUCCAAUACAGCGAAGGGCGUGACGGACAAGUAAGCUGAGUUGACAGGAUUACCUACACUCUACGCCCACACACGCGUAGAUGGACCAUUUAGUGUUCGAGUGAAGCAAGGCGUCGGUGGAGGAUUGUGAGAAGCCUAGGUCUUGGCGCGGCCUGACCCAUCAUUGCAACGUUUGGU